UACCAGCACCCCGAGUGGUCGGGACGAUUAUUGGGCCUAAAGCAUCCGUAGCCGGUUCUACAAGUCUUCCGUUAAAUCCACCUGCUUAACAGAUGGGCUGCGGAGGAUACUAUAGAGCUAGGAGGCGGGAGAGGCAAGCGGUACUUAGUGGGUAGGGGUAAAAUCCUCUGAUCCAUUGAAGACCACCAGUGGCGAAGGCGGCUUGCCAAUACGCGCUCGACGGUGAGGGAUGAAAGCUGGGGGAGCAAACCGG
rnacentral:rRNA from 1 species